AAAUGUUUAAUCUGGACAGAAAACAGAUGCGCUGUUGCUGUUGAUUUGAGAAAUGAACAGCAAAUGUUUUUGAUGUUGUUGAUUCUCUUCCACGUGUUGCGUUAUCCAGAAAGAAUAACGAACAUUGGGAAGACAUUGGUUUAUUUGUAAAAAUUUGUAUUUUUCAUGUGAAUUUGGUGGAGACAGCAGAGGACAAUGUCGAAUACAAUCCAACACUGUCUGCAUACCGAAUGUGUUUGCACGGGCCUGCUGUUAAAGCUGUACGCACAGUCUGUGUGAUUGAUGACACAGAGACCGGUCACUGCUUUCUCUCAGCGAUCAUGGGGGAGACCUGUGGCCUAUUUUUCGAGUAAGCUCGAUCCGGUAGCAGCAGGCAUGACAAAAUGCCUGAGAGCUGUUGCAUCUGCAGAAAAAGCUAUUUUAUCUUCAAGGGAAAUUUUGGGGUACUCUGAUGUGACUUUGCUCGUGCCACGCUCGAUCUCUGUGAUCCUGUUGGAACAGAAAACAUCCCAUUUGUCAACCGACAGAUGGCUCAGGUAACAAUCAUGCUGAUACUGCAGCAAAGGACGCAGCUAUGAGAACAGAGCCUUCUUUUACCUGUGUAACACUUAACAAUGACUUAUUCACACUCACUUCUGAUUCUCUUACAG
ensembl:lncRNA